CGACGCAACGCGCUAGAACCUUACCUAGACUUGACAUCCCGGGGAUUUUCUGGAAACAGAGAAGUGCUUUAGCAAUAAGAACCCGGUGACAGGUGCUGCAUGGCUGUCGUCAGCUCGUGUCGUGAGAUGUUGGGUUAAGUCCCGCAACGAGCGCAACCCUCGCCUUUAGUUGCCAGCAUUCAGUUGGGCACUCUAGGAGGGACUGCCGGUGUCAAACCGGAGGAAGGUGGGAUGACGUCAAGUCCUCAUGGCCUUUAUGUCUAGGGCUACACACGUACUACAAUGGCCGGUACAAAGGGCAGCCACUCAGCGAUGAGGCGCUAAUCCCAUAAAGCCGGUCUCAGUCCGGAUCGCAGUCUGCAACUCGACUGCGUGAAGUUGGAAUCGCUAGUAAUCGUAGAUCAGCAUGCUACGGUGAAUACGUUCCCGGGCCUU
rnacentral:rRNA from 1 species